GACGAACGCUGGCGGCGUGCCUAAUACAUGCAAGUUGAGCGCUGAAGGUUGGUACUUGUACCAACUGGAUGAGCAGCGAACGGGUGAGUAACGCGUGGGGAAUCUGCCUUUGAGCGGGGGACAACAUUUGGAAACGAAUGCUAAUACCGCAUAAAAACUUUAAACACAAGUUUUAAGUUUGAAAGAUGCAAUUGCAUCACUCAAAGAUGAUCCCGCGUUGUAUUAGCUAGUUGGUGAGGUAAAGGCUCACCAAGGCGAUGAUACAUAGCCGACCUGAGAGGGUGAUCGGCCACAUUGGGACUGAGACGCGGCCCAAACUCCUAAGGGAGGCAGCAGUAGGGAAUCUUCGGCAAUGGACGAAAGUCUGAACGAGCAACGCCGCGUGAGUGAAGAAGGUUUUCGGAUCGUAAAACUCUGUUGGUAGAGAAGAACGUUGGUGAGAGUGGAAAGCUCAUCAAGUGACGGUAACUACCCAGAAAGGGACGGCUAACUACGUG
rnacentral:rRNA from 1 species